rnacentral:rRNA from 1 species
UAAUGUCUGGGAAACUGCCUGAUGGAGGGGGAUAACUACUGGAAACGGUAGCUAAUACCGCAUAAUGUCGCAAGACCAAAGUGGGGGACCUUCGGGCCUCAUGCCAUCAGAUGUGCCCAGAUGGGAUUAGCUAGUAGGUGGGGUAACGGCUCACCUAGGCGACGAUCCCUAGCUGGUCUGAGAGGAUGACCAGCCACACUGGAAUUGAGACACGGUCCAG